ACUACUGCGGGGAGAAGUUGGCCGUGCUGAUGAUAAAGGGGAGACUGCUCUAUUGGAUCCUAAAGCUUACUAUGGAAGUAUUCAUCCUCCUUGUGGGACUUUUUCGUCACUUGGUUGGAUGAUUACACAUCCAACCAAGCUGCUGACUUUCCUUCUCCACCUCACAAGCAUCAUGUCUCUGUUUGGGUUGCUCUUCUCAGAGUUAUACACCUCACAUGCAGAAGCUUUCAGCUGAAAUCUGCCAAGAAACUUUUCUCUAUGAAGACUACAUUGCUUCACUUACACAAUCAAGAGAGUUGUUCAAAGAUAAAUUUCUCUUGUGGAGUGCAUGUGAAAAGAGUGACACAAAGGAAAUUUUCUUGUGUGCUGUGAGAGAUGUUGCAGAAGAAGGAGAACUCUGUCUCACACCAUUCGAUUCACCCACUUUAGAUGACCUCCUUAACACAAUCGAGAGGCACCACUUCAAGUAUGAUGCAACCAUCAAGAAAAUUGAUCAGCUCCACUUACUAGCCACGCAAAUGGUAGCUGUAACCGAAUCAAAAAUUCUGUUGAUUGAAGCUAAAAGGAAUAAGUUGGUGGAUAAGCUUGUGAAGCUGUCUUUUUUUUACUACCGUUCUUACAUACAACAGCCAGUGAAAGACUUUGUCAUGGGACAGUUGAUGCAUGAUGCUGAAAGAAGAAACUAAAGGUUCAGAUUUGUAGAUAGAGUCUUUGGAACUUCGAAGUUGGGAGGAUCAGUGGAAGGACUUGUCUAUGUUCUGCUCGGCCUAAGAGAUAUGACAACAACACAUGAAUCUUCUUUUAACACUUUGAUCAUGCAUUUUGAAAACUUACACUUUACCUUUGACUACGGAGAUAGAGUUGUGAGACUCAAAAGGUUGUUCUUUUUCAUUGUUCAGUUUGAGAUAUCUUGCACUUUGAAUGUUUGAGUUUGAGAACUUUAUACAAGAGCGUUGGUAAUAUCUCAUUCAGCAUAGAUCUUGCAUAUGUUCUUUCUCUGUUAGUGGUUCUUUCCCCUGAAACUGCUGCAGCAAGGUUCUUUAUACCAUCAGUCUUUGUAGGAUUGAUCUUACU